rnacentral:lncRNA from 1 species
GAUUUUUCUGACUGGAUGCUUGGAGAAGAGCCUUCAUUCCCUUGAAAACUUUGCUCAGGACACUGGUGGAGGAAGUUGAUGGCAUGGACCUAAGAGAAAGUGUUGAGUACCUGUAUUGCAGCUCACAUAUCAUCCUUAAGUCCUUAGAGUGAGCUGAGGACCCAGCAAGCACUUGAGAGCAAAGGGCAUGGCAUGUUCACAUCCAAGGCCCGAGAGUAACAGCAAGUGAGAUCUGUAAGGGCAGUGUGAAGGGGUUGGUAAGAGCAGGAGUGUAGAGGGUGCCUGUGAGAUAUGACAAGCCCAUAGUACAUGGUAAGCCCAUAAUCCAUGCGGAUUUUCAUUGGUCCCACUGUAAUCGGGGCAUGAUCUCUGUGCUGUCUUCACAGGGUUGCAUUCCCUUUCCAGUAUGGUCCAUGGAAAACAUGCAGAGGAAAUGGCCCCACAGCAUUGGCUGAGUGUUUAUGUCGUCCAACCGAGUCUCCAUCGAACUGUUGUGGUGUUGCUGACUUGCCCUAGGUCACCUGAGUUAAAAGUAUGGUCCAUGGAAAACAUGCAGAGGAAAUGGCCCCACAGCAUUGGCUGAGUGUUUAUAUCUUCCAACCGAGUCUCCAUCGAACUGUUGUGGUGUUGCUGACUUGGCCUAGGUCACCUGAGUUAAAAGGGUUGCAUUCCCUUUCCAGUAUGGUCCAUGGAAAACAUGCAGAGGAAAUGGCCCCACAGCAUUGGCUGAGUGUUUAUGUCAUCCAACCGAGUCUCCAUCGAACUGUUGUGGUGUUGCUGACUUGCCCUAGGUCACUUGAGUUAAAUGAGAUGCAUUCCUUUUCCUUCAUGGGCCAUGAGUGACAUCCAGAGAAAGUGUCACCACAACACUGGACAAAAGUUGAUGAUAUCUGAAUGAGCUACCAGUAAACCCCCCCCUUUUUUUGCUGUUAUUGCCUUGCCUGAGGAAAAGCGAGUUAAAAGAUGAUACCUACAGUGAUGAGUUGGAGUUAUAGAUGGUGCCAUUUCUUCUACCAGCAGCUUCACCAAAACAAUCUCCAUUAUACAUGCUGAUGCCUCUUUCCUGUGUAGCAGCAGACACCACCUGCAGAUAAGAAAUGCUUAAGCAUAAGAAAUUCAUCAUACUCAUACCAAUCUACACAAGAGUGAGAUCAUGG